rnacentral:rRNA from 1 species
ACGAACGCUGGCGGCAGGCUUAACACAUGCAAGUCGAACGCACCUUUCGGGGUGAGUGGCCGACGGGUGAGUAACGCGUGGGAAUCUACCCUUCUCUACGGGAUAGCUCCGGGAAACUGGAAUUAAUACCGUAUACGUCCUGAGGGAGAAAGAUUUAUCGGGGAAGGAUGAGCCCGCGUUGGAUUAGCUAGUUGGUGGGGUAAAGGCCUACCAAGGCGACGAUCCAUAGCUGGUCUAAGAGGAUGAUCAGCCACAUUGGGACUGAGACACGGCCCAAACUCCUACGGGAGGCAGCAGUGGGGAAUAUUGGACAAUGGGCGCAAGCCUGAUCCAGCCAUGCCGCGUGAGUGAUGAAGGCCCUAGGGUUGUAAAGCUCUUUCAGUGGGGACGAUAAUGACGGUACCCACAGAAGAAGCCCCGGCUAACUUCGUG